ACAUCAGUGAAGGUUGCUAUGAAACAGCUGUGAUGAUAAAGAUGGGUUCUUAGUGACAAGACAGAAGAUUGACUGUCGAGAAAGAAGACUACUUAGAGCAUCUGAACAAUAUGAAGAUGCUGAAGUUUAACAGUCAGGCCGGCCUGCUUGCUUCUUCUUGGAUUUGCCAUCCCCCUUCACCCCCAGUAGUGGAUGGACUUCUGCAGGAGGACAGACAGACACCCAUGAAACACAGUCCACGCCAUACCGGUCCACAGCCCAACCAGACCUUUGAG